rnacentral:rRNA from 1 species
UGCCAGCAGCCGCGGUAAUACGGAGGGUGCGAGCGUUAAUCGGAAUUACUGGGCGUAAAGCGCGCGUAGGCGGUUAAUUAAGUCAGAUGUGAAAUCCCAGGGCUCAACCUUGGAACUGCAUUUGAAACUGGUUAACUAGAGUUUUGUAGAGGGUGGUAGAAUUUCAGGUGUAGCGGUGAAAUGCGUAGAGAUCUGAAGGAAUACCAGUGGCGAAGGCGGCCACCUGGACAAAGACUGACGCUGAGGCGCGAAGGCGUGGGGAGCAAACGGGAUUAGAUA